rnacentral:lncRNA from 1 species
GUUGUAAUUUAUCAGAAAGUCAACAAAAGCAGAAACUUCAAUCUCAACACCCAUUUGACAAAAUUGCAGUGACAAGUUCUUCACCAAGAUCUCUAUAACAGGCCCAUGACUGCUCCACUGUCAAGAAAGCAUUACCAAAAAGCAGAAUUAGCCAAAUGUUGAAGCUGAAAAAGAGGAUACGCCAAUCAAUAUAUUUGAGUACCAAAAAAAGGACAUGUAGACAUAAAACAAAUGUUGUCUGAUUAAUUAAAAAAUGGAUGAUUUUUUUGUUAGGUACAAAGUAAACUUCAAAGUCAUCUUACAGAUUUAGUUGCAAGGUUGACCAAGCAAAGGGAAUGAUCCAUUACUGCUGAAGGUACAUAAUAGUGUUUGGAUGGUACCAGCUAAUGUUUCACUCUGUGAUAUUUUUUACAUUACUCAACUCGCUUCAAUACUUCAUAGUGCUCCUUUCUUAAAAGCAAUAUAUCUUUAUCUCAACAUUACCAUAGAAAAUAUCCUAUCAAAACAUGCUCGGCACAUAUCGGAAACCACACAUAUAUCUUUAUUUGAUCAUGGAAAAAGAUGAAACACACAUGAGCAUGUAGUUAAGUGAGUUAUAUAGAUGUGAACAUAUCAAAUACUUGUUUUCAUGAAUAUCUUGAAGUAUCACAGAUUCACAGUCCUAUACUUUUUUUUGCUGGAAAUCAGUCCUAUACUAAAAGGCUAAUCUACAAAUAAGUAAAUAAAUUAUUUCUUUCUUAUACAUCAUAUCAAUGUACAGAAUCCCAGCUUGCAAAUAAGAAUCCUCAGAUAUGUGCAUUGAUCUUUUUUGCUGUUAUUAUCCUAGUAGGAGGCCUCUAUCUCAUCUUUUACUGUUCAUUUAUACUUCAAAGUAAAAUACACGACAUUGAUCUUCAUAUAUAUACAUGUCAAUAAUUAUUUUUGGUCGAAAGUAGCAUAAUCUAAAUGGUUGUUGGGCUAUUCCGCUGGAUUAGUAUAAAUUUAGGUGAUGACAUACAGUCAAAUAUCAUAAACUAUGUACUGUCAUAUUCACAUUUAUAUUUUGCUAAUGCCCACUACAAAAAACAAAUUGUAACUCGCUAGUCUAAGCGAUGUUGGUUCUUCUGUAAACAUCUCUACCUUUUACAUGGUUGUCCUUCAUCUGUUCUGAUUAAAACUGAACAAGAUUGCUUUCUCCUCGUCAGACUGAAGCUCGUCCAUUCAUUUUCGUCCAAGCUAAAGAUAACCUGCAAAUAAGAAACAACAGACAACUACAGAAUCUGUUAGAGCCCAAAUUAGUUAAUCAAAUUUUAAAAGAUCGGCAACUACCAAUGUGACACUAAUUUACUGUCAGGCAGGUUACAUUCAACGAAAAUGAAUCUGGCCUUUAG